UACGUAGGGUGCGAGCGUUGUCCGGAAUUAUUGGGCGUAAAGAGCUCGUAGGCGGUCUGUCGCGUCGAAUGUGAAAACCCGGGGCUCAACUCCGGGCUUGCAUUCGAUACGGGCAGGCUAGAGUUCGGUAGGGGAGACUGGAAUUCCUGGUGUAGCGGUGAAAUGCGCAGAUAUCAGGAGGAACACCGGUGGCGAAGGCGGGUCUCUGGGCAGAUAUUGACGCUGAGGUGCGAAAGCGUGGGGAGCAAACAGG
rnacentral:rRNA from 1 species